UCCAAAAGUUUCUCUUAUUUGGUAUUCACUUGAUUAGUGGAUGAUCUCAGGCAGCUCAGAUGGCAAUGCCUGCAACCAGCUUCCCACCAUCCUCGCCUCUGAUUCAUCGGAGGGUGAAGAGGCAGUUGGAUCGUAUUGCCAUCUGAUCUGACUAGUUUAUAGCCUGAAAAACACUAAAGGAGUUUUCCUGCUUUUUUCUUUUCUUGCACUAUCUCAGUUUGU
rnacentral:lncRNA from 1 species